ensembl:lncRNA
ACUCAGUAUAACAGCCAUGCCUCUCCUGUGAUAUGUCUUAAUUAUCACAGAGGCGUAGCAAGGACAAACAACAGGUGUAGCUCAUUAAUUUAAUUAUGUGUCUGUAGGCGUGCCAGGGCCUAAUUAACAUCAUGAGACACACCUGUGUACGCCCCCAGGGUCACUGUAAUAACAACCCAGUAGCCAGAAAGUUGCUAUUUUAAAGUUUUUCGCAAACCACGGAAACGUUGAAACUCAGCGUUUCUGAACCAAAAUACGUUUGAUAUCAACGUCUCUAGACACCUUUUCGUAUGGGUUGGAACUGCUUAAAGGGACCCUAUUACACCAACAAGUUUGAGUGUGCCAGUGUGGGCAGCUUUUCAAACGGCUUUAUUGGCUAAUCACACUCAAACCUGGUUGCAUAAUCUGUUGGACCUUUAAGAAAUAACAAAACUUAAAGACUUUCAGACGACUAUCAAAAGGAAAGAACAGUUAUCUGUGACGAUGCAGACUACGGCUUCAAUGUCAACAUACAUACGAAGUGUUUCGACUGCUUAAAUGAACAGCUUCGUAUUCAGAAGGCCUUUUAUUCAAGUUUAAACAUUUUCUUUCCUGUAUAAAAUGAAUAAAUAUUGAAAAUGAUUACGCAUUGCGUUGUUGUACUGAUGGUGUUCUUUCUUCCUCAAUAGAUUACUCACUUUUUUUUUCAUGUAGUCAGAACCCUGUACUUAGUUUUCUUAGUGAAAAAGGUAACUUAGAACAGGACCAGGAAAAUUAGAUAAAAUUGUUUGUACGUCAAGGUUGCUGAGCACUGAAAUCAAGAAUACACUUCAUCUUAUCACAAGCAUUGUGUUGUAUGGCAAC